GGAAGUAAAAGUCGUAACAAGGUCUCCGUUGGUGAACCAGCGGAGGGAUCAUUACAGAGUUAUACAACUCCCAUACCAUCUGUUAACCUACCCAGUUAUGCCUCGGCGUAAGCUCGGUUGGAGGCACCUGCAGCUACCCUGUAGUUGCGGACUGCCAACUCCAGCCGCGGCCCGCCGGCGGUACACUAAACUCUGUUUUAUUUUAUAUUCUGAGCGUCUUAUUUUAAUAAGUUAAAACUUUCAACAACGGAUCUCUUGGUUCUGGCAUCGAUGAAGAACGCAGCGAAAUGCGAUAAGUAAUGUGAAUUGCAGAAUUCAGUGAAUCAUCGAAUCUUUGAACGCACAUUGCGCCCAUCAGUAUUCUGGUGGGCAUGCCUGUUCGAGCGUCAUUUCAACCCUUAAGCCUAGCUUAGUGUUGGGAAUCUGCUGUACUGCAGUUCCUUAAAGACAGUGGCGGAGCGGCGGUAGUCCUCUGAGCGUAGUAAUUUAUUUCUCGCUUUUGUCAGGCUCUGUCCUCCCGCCAUAAAACCCCCAAUUUUUUAGUGGUUGACCUCGGAUCAGGUAGGAAUACCCGCUGAACUUAAGCAUAUCAAUAAGCGGAGGA
rnacentral:rRNA from 1 species